CAAGAACUUUAAAUAUAGAUUUUGUUCACUCAAAUCAUGAAAGUUUCCAAAAUAGAUGAAAGAAGAUUCCCACAAUAGAUCAAAGAAGAUUCCCACAAUAAAUUAUAUAAAGAAGUUAAAUUUGACUUUCAUUGAUAUACUUACAGGAAAAUAACAGAAACAAUUUUAUAUUCUAAUGACAAUCAGAUAAUUAAACUGCUAACAAGUUAGAAGAAGAGUUUAAUGUUACUAAUUAUAUGGGUGCAGAUGGCUUUCAUCUUUCCCCUUAUUCAGAUGUGUAUCAUCAGUCAUCGUGUAUCAUAAAAAUGUUAAGUUAUUGCAGUUAAACUAUUAAAAGAUAAUCAUGAACUUAUUGAUAUGUUUGUAGUAGAACUAUCAAUAUUUUCAUGAUAAUAGAAACUACUUGAAAAUAUAAGAUACUCGAAAAUAAGUUGUAUUCUCAAGAUGGUUUUGAUGAGAUGAUGGUUCUUGUAUUAAAAACAAUGGAAGACAACAGACAAAUCUGAGCUAGAACUAAAUUCAUUGGGACAAAGUUCAGUUAAUAUUGGAUCCAUCAGUAGUUUAUUACAAA
rnacentral:lncRNA from 1 species